UACGGGGGGGGUAAGCGUUGUUCGGAAUUACUGGGCGUAAAGGGCUCGUAGGCGGCCAACUAAGUCAGACGUGAAAUCCCUCAGCUUAACUGGGGAACUGCGUCUGAUACUGGAUGGCUUGGAUUCGGGAGAGGAAUGCGGAAUUCCAGGUGUAGCGGUGAAAUGCGUAGAUAUCUGGAGGAACACCUGUGGUGUAGACGGCUUUCUGGACCAUAACUGACGCUGAGACACGAAAGCGUGGGUAGCAAACAGG
rnacentral:rRNA from 1 species